AAAUACAGUUGCAAAUCGGAUUCAGUCUGAGACGUUGUCUCACUUACUCCGCCGUAAAGACGUAGACGUGCUCGCAUACCAAAACAAUCACCGACUUUCAUUUGUGUACAUUGGGCACAGUGAAUCAUCUCAUACAUUGGCAGGGCAGAUCGAAAACAGUCUCAAAUUACAUUUCAUUUACAAGCAAAACAAAACUAAACAACUACAAACUUAGCCACAAACUAAUGGCGUGGCUUUUUAUCACCACAGUCAUGUCGACGAUUCUGAAUUAAGAGACAUUUUUUAGUAUAUACAAAAAUAUCAAUGAUUUUUGCAUGAGAAUAUACAAUUGGUUUCAUUAAAGAAUUGGAAUACAUUCGAAAAGAUGCAAAAAGCAAACAAGGAAAAUACACCGAACGAAGUCGUUUACGUUCGUUGCCCACAUGAUCAUCGACAUUUCGUUUUGAAGAAACACUAUGAAGCCCAUUUGAUAAAAUGCCGCUCGGAACAACCAAAAUGUGAUACAUUGUUUUGUCCAUUCAAUACCGCACAUCGGUGCCUUUCGCUACAGCAAUUGAGCGAACACAUCGAAAAAUGCCCAAGCCAAGAAGCAUUUGGACAAUACAUGCCGGACGGUAAUCAUUGAUAACGAUGAUAUUUUCUCACAAAAUCACACAACUCAAACACAAAGGAUUACAGCAUUAAUUUUAAACAUUCAAUAUAAAAAUGUAGUUAAACAUGACAUU